GGAGAAAUGGCAGAGCGGUCGAAUGCGGCGGUCUUGAAAACCGUUGACCUCGCGAGGGGUCCGGGGGUUCGAAUCCCUCUUUCUCCG
rnacentral:tRNA from 1 species